rnacentral:lncRNA from 1 species
AGACUUUAUACAACUCUGAAAGGUUUUAGUGAACUUUCCAAAAUUCUCACAAAUUGAUUGCCUUAGCCAGAACACAUGAAAGUUUUCCAUCAAUACUCAUGACAUAUUCACACCUACUUUGUUAAAUUGCUGGCCUCUCAUACACAUUUUUUGUCACGGGAAAUUUUCUAUAUAACUUAUUUGGUUAUUUAUAAAAAAAGUGUGCAUACUUAGAUGAUUAACAAGUUAAUCAUUGUUUGAUACUUCCACAAUUUAUGCAACCAAGCUUGGCCAUUAAGGUAUUAGGUAUAGUUGCAUAUUUUAGACGGGAGGAAUAGGGAUUGGAGCAGGGACCAUCAACUGCACUAUGUUAAGAAUCCAUUUUUUUUAGGAUAAUGUUAAGAAUCAAAGUUGAUAGAACCUUUUAUUUUUUUGACUGAACCAAUACUAUAUAGUAUUUAGAAUUCUGCUCAUUACCUAAAUGAUUUCACUCAUUCUCAAAGUAAAAGUCCAAAAUGCUCCUACGCAUGUUAACAUGCGCUAGUUGUAAUAUGUACUUAUGUUAAGUCACGCUACCUGAUUUAACAUGCGCUAGUGUAUUUUUUACCUAAGUUAAGUCACGUAACUUGCGCUAGUGUAUUCUGAGCGUGAGUUAACUCACGCUAGUUGGCCGGUGCAGAACUGAAGAACAAACGUUUUUUGGUAUGUGGUCAGUUUUUCAACAUUCAAUCCACACAUUUUUAACACUAUUUUACACGUUUUUUGAUCACAUUAAUGGUGUUUACAACCUAUACUACCAUUCCCACCUAUAAAUACCCCUCCAUACUUCCCUAAUUCCUCACACCAUAUCACUUUCUCCCCCUGCUCACUCUCUCCCUCUAUUUCUCUUCUUUCUUUUUCAAUAUUCUCUUUGGGGGCAAAAAUGAUCAAUCUUCUUAGGGGUAAAAUAGUGAGUAGCCGACUUGGGGAAGUGAUCAACCCUUGGGAUAAGUUUAAAUCUGCUUUUUUAAACCCCAAAAACUUUUUACCUGGGUAAAAAGAAUCUUCUUGGGGUAAAAAAAAACCAGAUUUAAAUUUAGCCCAAGGGUUGAUGGUGUAUUUUCCCCAAGAACGUUGCUCACUAUUUUACCCCAAGAUGAUUGGUCACCUUUUACCCCAAAGAGGGAGAAAAUAAGUAGUGAAUUUGAAUAAAUUAUUGUAAGAAUUAUUGUAUUGUAUGAAAUAUUAAUAAAAUGAGAUAUUGUUAUAUGCCUCAA